rnacentral:misc_RNA from 1 species
AUGGUGGCUCAGGCGGGGCAGCCUUUGUGCUGGCCGGUUUCCAAGGUUGCCGGUUUCUCACCCCCGUCUGGGCUACCACCCUUGCGUGAGAACUUCGGUGGUAGCGGUAAUUCGCUAACCUUGGAGGCUGCCGUUAUGGCUACGACCCUCACCCCGACUCACCCUACAUUCUGCUAUUUGUUUGCGGCCGUGCGCCGGUCUGCGCUGACGGCUUCACCGCGUAUGGUGCGCACCGUGGCGGAUUCUGAGCACAACGCCCGCCGCCUGCUGGCCCGUGAUUACGUGUUGUCCUUUGCCGGUCGUCUGCCGGUUAAGGCGGUGGCAUGA